UCCGGCUCCGCUCCACCGGCGCUGCCUGGGCUGGCGCUCUGGGUGGCCUUGGGCAGGUGCCCUGGGAGGCCCCACAGGGAAGCCCAGAGAAUCCGGAUCUGUCCCUAGUUCUGUGCGACAGACUUCGCUUUGCAAUGCCUCAGUUUUUUAUAAGAGGCAGACCUGUACCUUCCUGCUCCAGGGCAUCCUGGGCGGGCAGAUGGGUUUGGAGAGUUUACUGGGGGUGCCUGUGACCUCUUGGAGGUCAUUCCUCAGUCACUCCUUCCACAAGGGACCAAAGUUUGUGAGUGUGUUUGUGUGUAUGUGUGUGUGUGUGUGUGUGUGUGUGUGUAUGUGUGUGUGUGUGUGUGUGUGUGUUUGUUGGGGAGCCACAGGUGCUGUAGGAUGCCCACAACUUCGAAGUCCUUUGGUGAACCCCAAAAGGGGUGGUUGCUGCUUGCCAGUCUAGAAGGCUGGAGGAGGGGAGAGAGGAUCAUAGAGCCCAAAGUGGCGUUGAACUUGAUGUGUAGCAGAAGAUGAUCUUGAAUUACUACUGAUCCCCGACCCUCUGCCUCCACCUCCCAAGCACUGGCUUUACAGUGGCCAAGAUCUUCGAGCUUCCGGCUUGUAGGAGGAAGCCCAGGAAGGGAGAAGUGAGAGUUCCUGUCCUUGUCCGGAGAGAUUCAGCUGCCGUCCUCCUAGAUCAGAGAAGUGCAGAGGGAAGCCGAGGGCAAAUCUUCUAAGGCAAUUCUUGUGAAAAGGUCGUUCAACUUCCCAAAAGAUCGAGACUCACAGGUUGAGAACUGCUAUUCUAAGUGUUGUACUGAGACUGUCCAACACUCCAAGAGCCGCCCAGAUUCACCUCGCUGCUUGCUUCUGAGCCCUUCACCAUCAGCCAACAGAUGGCUUCUGCAGAGUGUCAGACAGUCCCUAUGCUCUGGCCCUGAGCAAGCAGGAGAUGUUCAGGGACAGAUUUCAGUUCUGGUGGUACUUUCUCAGUCUCCGGAGCCA